rnacentral:rRNA from 1 species
AUUGAACGCUGGCGGAAUGCUUUACACAUGCAAGUCGAGCGGCAGCGCGGGGGCAACCCUGGCGGCGAGCGGCGAACGGGUGAGCAAUACAUCGGAACGUACCCAGUGGUGGGGGAUAACACAUCGAAAGAUGUGCUAAUACCGCAUACGACCUGAGGGUGAAAGGGGGGGAUCGCAAGACCUCUUGCCGUUGGAGCGGCCGAUGUCGGAUUAGCUAGUUGGUGGGGUAAAGGCUCACCAAGGCGACGAUCCGUAGCUGGUCUGAGAGGAUGAUCAGCCACACUGGGACUGAGACACGGCCCAGACUCCUACGGGAGGCAGCAGUGGGGAAUUUUGGACAAUGGGGGCAACCCUGAUCCAGCCAUUCCGCGUGAGUGAAGAAGGCCUUCGGGUUGUAAAGCUCUUUCGGCAGGAACGAAACGGUGGGGGCUAAUAUCCUUCAUCAAUGACGGUACCUGAAGAAGAAGCACCGGCUAACUACGUGCCAGCAGCCGCAGUAA